AUUGAACGCUGGCGGCAGGCCUAACACAUGCAAGUCGAGCGGAGCGGCUGACGGGCGAGUAAUGCCUAGGAAUCUACCUGGUAGUGGGGGAGAGCGUCCGGAAACGGGCGCUAAUACCGCACACUAUCAGAUGAGCCUAGGUCGGAUGAGCUAGUUGGUGGGGUAAUGGCCUACCAAGGCGACGAGCCGUAACUGGUCUGAGAGGAUGAUCAGGCACACUGGAACUGAGACACGGCCGAGAUCCCGACGGGAGGCAGCAGUGGGAAAUAUUGGACAAUGGGCGAAAGCCUGAUCCAGCAAUGCCGCGUGUUGAAAGAAGGUCUUCGGAUUGUAAAGUACGUUGAGAUGGGAGGCGUUACCAACAGAAUAAGCACCGGCUAACUUCGUGCCAGCAGCCGCGGUAAUAC
rnacentral:rRNA from 1 species